CUCUCAUUAAUACAUAUGAAUAGUCCAUGACACGUGUUGUAGAGAACUCUGUUUUUUGCCUGCUGUCAGGUUUUGUGAAUAAAUGCUGUGAUAUGGAUAGUUCUGUGUUGGAGGGGGGAUGCGCUAAGGUUAGCACUGCAGAGACUUGUUCUCCUAUCCAUCCUCAUUCAGAUUUUGGAACCUGCACCAAGAAUAUUGUUAUUUGUACUCUCAAUAUCAGAAAUAACCCUGUAGCUCUCUUGGUGCCAAACCUGCACAGGAAGUGUUAAAAGGCUCCUGAUAUCAUUUGUCUGUGCUUGGUUAUUUUCUUAAAAAGACCCAUGCAAUUAUAUUUCUGUUUUUACCUCAAUGUUAUGACCCCUGCUUAGUAUUUGAACUACGUUCUUGGCAUUAUCCCUAGUGUUCUACGAAUUUGGGACUGAUUGCUCUGUUACUGACUUCUGGCUAUUGUUACCUGGAUUAUUCGUUUGCUGACUCCUGCUACUUUGUCUAGAUACUGCUGGAUAUCCUGAUAUUUGACCUUGGCCUGUCUCCUGACUACUCUCCUGCCUAUAUCCUGGACAUUGACGAGUUCCUGCUCCUCUAAGAUUAUGGCCUGGUCCUGACCAGUGUUUCCUCUAAGCCCAGUUUUGUGAGCGGCCCAGCAGUGAAACAGUUUAUAAGGGAACCACGCCUUGCAGUCUGCAUUGUGUAGUGUUUGCUAAUUGCUCUAAUUAACAUUUUCACUGCUGGGCUGCUCACAAAACUGGCCUGCAAGGGAAAACUGGUCCUGACUACUACUUAUGGUUCAUCUUAUGCUAUAUGGGUUCCAGCUACAAACAGUUAGUGAGGUAGUAAACACAUGGGACUGGAAAAGGUUGGAUUUCAGAAUAGUUAGGCUUUUGGAAUAUUUGCAUCUGUUAAAUGGGACAGUAUGGAGAGAGAACGGAUAAACAACAAUAUCUUAUGUCAUUUAGGCAAUAUUUACAUGUAUUAUACAGUUUAUACAUGCAACCUAAAGGUAGUUUAAUAUCAUUUUUAAUACUUUUGUAUACAUAGUACCCAAAGAAAGAUAGUAUAGUACUGUAAUCUAAAUGGUAAUAUUUGUUGUUUUAAAUCAAUUUAGACUACUAUUUUCAUUUUAGAACACAAAAAAACAAACCAGAGAUAUAGGCAGAGAAGAUUGUGACAUACAGGUGGGGAAAAUAGUCAUUUUUGAUCAUUUUAUUUUUAAAAAAAUAUUAAUUAAAAAGUUUGGAUUUCAGAAUAAUUUAAGAAAUUGGAAUUCCGGAUUUUGGGUUUUGUACCUGUACUCCAUUUUAUGCCUUGUUAUACCACUGUGGGACUUGCAAUCUGCAUCACAGGACAGUAGUUUAUCUUUAUUUUGUAAAGCAUGUUAAUUUACAAUAUUUUAUUUGCCUUUAACUGAAAAAAAAUAUUGCAAAAGAAAAAAAGAAAACACAGGAUUAUUUAUUGGUAACUAAAAAUAUCUGAUCCAAAAAGCUUUUAUGUGUAAAGAUUAUAAGAAAGAAAGAGGUCACCUGCGCUAAAAUCUAGGAUAUGGGAAUUUAUAUCUUACCAAAGGAAAAGAAUUCAGGUAUUUGUAGAAAUUUCCCAAGUGAUAAUGCUUAUAAGUAAUAUGAAUUUGGUCAAACUUGGUAUAAGUUUAGCGUGCUGCCUCUAUAUUGAAACAGAGUACCCCUAACUCUGUAAAAAAGUGUAUAGAAAGAGAAGAUUCAAUAUGAAGGUAGAGGCGCUCAGCUAUAUAAUAUACACUGUAAAUAUGAGUACAUAAAAUGUUUUUUAGUAGUCUUUUUGGUGAAAUUCUUCACAGUUGUUGGAAUCAAGUAAGAAAUUUCUGCUUACCAGCUGUUACCUCAAUCAUAUGAGGUAAGGAAUGCGCCCAGUUUUAAAGGUGAUUCACUGUAAUGGACCUUCUGUGUCCUGGUGUUGUUCCUGGAAAAUUGUUGUUGAAAUCUGUCCCUCCGUUAGGAUUCUUGAUCUUAUAAGAAUGAAGAUCCUGGACUCUCUUUAGGUAGAGGGAUGUAGACUGUAACCCGUCUGUUAUAUCUCUCUUCAAUGGUGGUAGGAAUACAUUAUCCUUUUUGCACGAUCCUUAGGAAGAUGUGCCCUUGGGUGGUGAGAAUCUCCGUCUCCUCAGGAUGUAGUAAUUUCCUCAGCUCACCAGAGUAAGUCCUGUGUAAAAAGUUACACUUCAGCAGGUGUUCUGUGGGGGUUUUAACUGAUGAAAAACAAGUUGUAACAAUGCAUGGGCAGAGCUGCUAUUAGCUUUGGUCGUGGAAUAAGCAGUAUGUGCAGAAGGUUGAUUAAGCAGUGUAACCAGCAAUCUCUGCGAUGCAGCACAUUCACAGGAUUUUCUGUGAAAAGAUUAGUUGGUCUAAAGAGAUGGCUUCUAAAUAGUGAUGUCGCGAAUAGUUCGCCGGCGAAUAGUUCCCGACGAACAUAGCUUGUUCGCGUUCGCCGCGGCGGGCGAACAUAUGCGAUGUUCGGUCUGCCCCCUAUUCAUCAUCAUUGAGUAAACUUUGACCCUGUACCUCACAGUCAGCAGACACAUUCCAGCCAAUCAGCGGCAGACCCUCCCUCCCAGACCCUCCCACCUCCUGGACAGCAUUCAUUUUAGAUUCACUCGGAAGCUGUAUUCUUAUUGAGAGGAGGGACAGUGUAGCUGCUGCUGAUUUAAUAGGGAAAUCGAAAGCUAGGCAAGUGUAUUCAGUGUCCACUACAGUCCUGAAGGACUCAUCUGAUCUCUGCUGUAAGGACAGCACCCCAAAAAGCCCUUUUUAGGGCUAGAACAUCAGUCUGCUUUUUUUUUUUUCCCCCCUGUGUAAUCUAAUUGCAGUUGCCUGCCUGCCAGCGUGUGUGUCAGGCUCACAGCGUAUACUGUGCCCACUUGCCCAGUGCCACCACUCAUAUCUGGUGUAACAGUAGUGUACAUUUAAAAAAAACAACACUUGGGGGGCGGAGUCUAGCCACGCUGGAAGAUGGCUGCUAGUUACGAGGGCUCCUAUCUUCCACACCGACUAUAAGCGUUUUUAGAUGGCAACAAACACUUAUUUCCCUUCCUCUCCUGCUGUCAGGAUUUUGGCAUGUGAUUCUAUACCUUUAAGAGUUUCUAACCAAUAGUUGUAUCACGCCCCUUAUAAAACACCUGUUCACACCUAGAACCUUGCUUAGUAUUUUGUGAACUUCCUGUAGUCACUCACGCCUAAGCUGGAGCUAAUCUUUGUUUCCUCUCAAUUCCAGUCUGUUUUACUUCUGGAUUCACUUGUCUGUUUGUGUGUGCUAAAGGAAUCUCUAACCAGCUAUUCUUUUCACAGACUGUCACCCUCUGCAACAGAUACAUUAAGUGUCUCAGAACCGCAACUCAUCAGAGCAGUCAAGUAACUUUCAGACCAGAAAACUUCUAACCGAAUUCUCAGGAUUUUAUUCACCAAGGUAUCCCUUGCUUUACCUCUAUUGCAACCAUCUCAUCUCUGCUUAAUCUCAUUCUGCAGCUCUCCCUCUCGGCAUCUACUGCUUGCAGUGUGACAUCACACGCUGAACUCUAACUCGAGCGGUCUCUCUGCUGAGUCACCUCCCCCACUGCCUUCAGUGCCGUAAGGAGCUGCCGUUUACACCGGACUGCACAUUUACCUCCUGAUAUUAGGAUUAUUACACCUGCAGAGGGGAUUCCGCCUGGGGCCCUCCUCUGCGGCCGACACACGCAGCCUGAUACUACGAGCACGAUGGAGGCCUCCCUGAGUCCACCAACAAAGGAUAGAGUAUAAACGCCCUCACGGAAGGUAGCGACCCAACUUGAUCGGCAGCAGCAAAGAAGUAAAGGAGAGAGCUGAUCCGCAACUUCUACUUACAUCAGGGGUGCCAUUACGCAGACUACUAUAGGCCUCAUUGCAAACAUUGGAGGGCUAUACAUUAGCUGCGCACAUCUACCAACUUGAGCCGAGACCAGGUAAAUUGCCAGAGUUCUUAGCUAACAGCGGAUAUCAGCACUGAUACGGGCAAGCUACCUAUCUCACACUCCACGCACCUGCAGAAAGAGUCCCGCCUGGGGCCCAAUCCCACGUCACAUACCCGAGGCCUACCUGCCUCUGCCAAAAAGGACAGUUUGCAAACGCCACCGCGGACAGAGGUGGCCCAUCAGGACUGACUAUGGCAGAGACUUGAGAGAAGGAGCUUGACUCAGUUGCUGUGCAGCUCAGAGGCGCCACUGCACAGAACGAUCAAGGCCUCAUCGCUUACAACCACAGCACUUCUCCAUAUAGAAGCUGGGAUCAAAAGAGCUACCGGAGGUGAGUUAGCUAUAAAGCAAUAUUGGUAUCCGGCUCAGGUUAGAUUGUGUGGUGGCUUACCCCUGGGGAACCAAUGUUACAGGGAGCUUAAUAGUAAUACCGGGCCCACUCUGUAAUUGUGCCCUAUAGGCUCUAACUAAGAGAUAUAAUUUUACUAGUCCUGCACAAAAGGUCUAAAACUUUGCAUACUGAGUCUGCUUGUUCACUCAAAGAUAAGACCUCUUCGCCGAAAGCUCCCUCUUGCACAGAAAUCUGAUUCCCUCAUUGAAAAAUUAUUAAACCCACACCUGAUAUCAUAACAGACUUUCUUACCUAAGGUGCCUUAAAAGCUUUUUCAUAUACAACAGACCCUGGCCUUUUCUGCCUGUUGCCCUCCUGAAUUCUCAUCACAAGCAGACUCCCACUGAUAAACUAACUUAAUAUACCUACUUGGGUGAGUGUGUAAUGCCGUGUAAAAGACAGCAUAAAGGAGAUAAACCCAAUCCACAAAGCCGCUAAGCCAAUUUUUAAAGCCUAGAGAAACACAGUCUCCCCUUGGCCCUGAGACAGUCAUGGAAAUGCAGGCCCCUGCAACUAACCCCUCUCUGCUGAUCACACCCGACAUGAGCUCCUUUCUCACAAAAAAAGAUAUCUCACACCUGUCAUCAAAAGACGACAUCAAAGUUGUCCUACACGAAAUGAGGACCUUAUUCGGUGAUUUAAGAAAGGAUCUAGGAGCCAUGGAAAAAGAGUAAUCUCUCUAGAAAAUGCACAAGAAGCCACUGCGACUGAAGUCCAAUCUAACUCCUCUAACAUCCAAGACCAAGGACUCAAAUUGCAAUCAUUAGCUGAAAAAUUAGAAGACCUGGAAAACAGGACUAGACAAAACAAUCUCAGAAUCAGGGGAGUUUCUGAAAACGUCUUCCCCCCAGCAAUUGAAGAUUACCUCUAAGCACUAUUUAGGGUUAUUAAAGAGAAUCCAUCAGCUGAAGACAUACAGAUAGAACGAGCACAUCGGGCCUUACGCCCCAAGCACCCACCCAAAGCCCCCCUGAGGGACAUAAUAGUGAAGUUCCUUAAAUAUAAGAAUAAGGAAGAUCUCCUUCGCUGUGCUAGAGAGAAGCACCCUAUCCUACAUAUAGGUGAAGAAAUCCAACUAUUCACUGACCUGUCUCCGACCACCCUUCAAAAGAGAAGAGACUUAUCUCACAUUACUUCUUUCCUGAAAAAGCAUAAAGUUUCAUACAGAUGGGGCUUUCCGGUCUCACUGAUAGCAUCAGCUAACAACAAAAAAGCGAUCUUUAGACUGGGUACAGACCCCAACCAAUUCUACAAAGAGCUGGCCUUAAUGCCUUUCAAUGAAUCGGAAGAACCAACAACAGCUUACAGAGGACAUACAGUAAGCACAGACCGGUUGGACAAUAGCUCUACCUCAAGUUGACAUUAAUCAUUUUGUCUCUCUUGCCCCUCUAACGAGGACACGUUUGCAGAGAUGAGCCACCAUGAGCGUUUCUAGUACCCCGGACCUGUCUCCCACCACCCUUCAAAAGAGAAGAGACUUAUCUCACAUUACUUCUUUCCUGAAAAAGCAUAAAGUUUCAUACAGAUGGGGCUUUCCGGUCUCACUGAUAGCAUCAGCUAACAACAAAAAAGCGAUCUUUAGACCGGGUACAGACCCCAACCAAUUCUACAAAGAGCUGGCCUUAAUGCCUUUCAAUGAAGCGGAAGAACCAACAACAGCUUACAGAGGACAUACAGUAAGCACAGACUGGUUGGACAAUAGCUCUACCUCAAGUUGACAUGAAUCAUUUUGUCUCUCUUGCCCCUCUAACGAGGACACGUUUGCAGAGAUGAGCCACCAUGAGAGUUUCUAGUACCCCGGACGCUGAGAUGAGAAAGUAAGUGUCUGGAAAGAAGCAGCGGGCUUUUGGCGGCACACAAGACUUUGAUUAUUUUUACCCCUGCUCUAACGGUUAAAAAGUUGUUUGUUAAUAUAAGACAGUACCUUUGUAUUUUACUCAACACAACAAUGUUUAUGCCUGUA